rnacentral:rRNA from 1 species
UACGGAGGGUGCAAGCGUUAUCCGGAUUCACUGGGUUUAAAGGGUGCGUAGGUGGGCAGGUAAGUCAGUGGUGAAAUCUCUGGGCUUAACCCGGAAACUGCCAUUGAUACUAUCUGUCUUGAAUACCGUGGAGGUUAGCGGAAUAUGUCAUGUAGCGGUGAAAUGCUUAGAUAUGACAUAGAACACCAAUUGCGAAGGCAGCUGGCUACACGAAUAUUGACACUGAUGCACGAAAGCGUGGGGAGCAAACAGG